rnacentral:misc_RNA from 1 species
UAACCACAUAUUGAGAAUCAGAAA